AAUGAUAGGCAUAAAUACCCUAAAGGUGACAGAUCCUGUCUGAUCUUAGAAGCUCGGUGGGGUUAGGCCAAGUUAGUACUUUGAUAUGAGACUGCCACUGAAUACUAGGUGCUGUAGGCU
rnacentral:rRNA from 1 species